GAUUGCGAUGCCGCCGCAUUCCGAGAGCUUUAUGGUGUGAAACAGCAAAGGAGAAGGAAACAAUGACGGCUUUCAUAAGACGUCAUUUUCUGCUGCUUUUUAUCUGUGGAAUGUGUGGAGUGGUCCUCCUCCGUCCACAACGUGACGCGUGCACCUUGUGCACCGCCAUGGAGACGCGACGUGACGAGUACAGGAAGUGAAAGUGAAAGAAGCGUUUUGACAAGUCGUAUGGCUACUUGACGCUACCUGGCUACUCUGCAGGACUGCUUGAAUGGCACAUGAUAUCGCACACAAGACACACACCAGUGUUUCCUACAGACUUUGUGUCUAUGGAACAUCUGUGGAGGACUGAAGACACAAACACUCCAGCACUUUCCACAGUUGGAAGGAGAAGAGAGCGAGUGUUGCCGCAGGGUGCUGAGAUGAAGAGACCAACAGGAGCUUCUGACUCCGAGGUUGAGAAGGCAGAACUCGCUGGUGUCCAAUGUCCUGAUUCCAUUGGUCCAAAAGACUCCAAUCAAACUUCAAAGGGAGUCAAGUGUUGCCAAGGUGCACGAUGAGGGUCUUCA